rnacentral:rRNA from 1 species
GACGUAGGGCGCAAGCGUUGUCCGGAUUUAUUGGGCGUAAAGAGCUCGUAGGCGGCUUGUCGCGUCGACUGUGAAAACCCGUGGCUCAACCAUGUGGUCUGCAGUCGAUACGGGCAGGCUAGAAUUCGGUAGGGGAGACUGGAAUUCCCGUGGUGUAGCGGUGAAAUGCGCAGAUAUCGGGAAGAACACCCGUGGCUAAGGCGGCUCUCUAGUACGGUACUGACGCUGAGACGCGAAAGCGUGGGGAGCGAACAGG